UACGUAGGGUGCGAGCGUUGUCCGGAAUUAUUGGGCGUAAAGAGCUCGUAGGUGGUUUGUCGCGUUGUUCGUGAAAACUCACAGCUCAACUGUGGGCGUGCGGGCGAUACGGGCAGACUAGAGUACUGCAGGGGAGACUGGAAUUCCUGGUGUAGCGGUGGAAUGCGCAGAUAUCGGGAGGAACACCGGUGGCGAAGGCGGUUCUCUGGGCCUGUUCUGACGCUGAGGAGCGAAAGCGUGGGGAGCGAACAGG
rnacentral:rRNA from 1 species